rnacentral:rRNA from 1 species
UUUCGCAAUGCCCGAAAGGGUGACGAAGCGACGCCGCGUGCGGGAAGAAGGCCUUCGGGUUGUAAACCGCUGUCGGGAGUUAAGAAAUGCAAGGGUAUUAAUAGUAUCCUUGUUUGACUAGGGCUCCGGAGGAAGCCACGGCUAACUCUGUGCCAGCAGCCGCGGUAAUACAGAGGCGGCAAGCGUUGUUCGGAAUUAUUGGGCGUAAAGAGCACGUAGGCGGCUAUGUAAGUCGGUUGUGAAAGCCUUCCGCUCAACGGGAGAACAGCAUCCGAUACUGCAUGGCUUGAGUGCGGGAGGGGAGAGUGGAACUUCUGGUGGAGCGGUGAAAUGCGUAGAUAUCAGAAGGAACGCCGGCGGCGAAAGCGGCUCUCUGGCCCAUAACUGACGCUGAGUGUGCGAAAGCUAGGGGAGCAAACGGGAUUAGAUACCCCGGUAGUCCUAGCCGUAAACGAUGGGCACUAAGUAGAGGGGUUUU